GACAGAGGGUGCAAACGUUGUUCGGAAUUACUGGGCGUAAAGCGCGUGUAGGCUGCUCGGAAAGUCGGGUGUGAAAGCCCUGGGCUCAACCUAGGAAGUGCACUCGAAACUUCCGAGCUGGAGUGCUGGAGAGGAAGGCGGAAUUCUCGGUGUAGAGGUGAAAUUCGUAGAUAUCGAGAGGAACACCGGUGGCGAAGGCGGCCACCUGGACGGUAACUGACGCUGAGACGCGAAAGCGUGGGGAGCAAACAGG
rnacentral:rRNA from 1 species